CGCGGAAGUCGGCGGACGUAGUCUUCGCCAACCUGGUCAGGUCCUGACGGAAGCAGCCACAACGAAUUCGCUGCGGGUCGUUCGGCUUCCACCUUU
rnacentral:SRP_RNA from 1 species